rnacentral:rRNA from 1 species
UACGUAGGCAGCGAGCGUUGUUCGGAAUUACUGGGCGUAAAGAGUGUGUAGGCGGUGCUCCCAGUCUGUUGUGAAAUCUCCCGGCUUAACUGGGAGGGUGCAGCGGAAACUAGAGUGCUAGAGGGUGGGAGAGGUAAGCGGAAUUCCUGGUGUAGCGGUGAAAUGCGUAGAUAUCGUCUGGAACGCCGAAGGUGAAAACAGCUCGCUGGGGCUGCGCUGACGCUGAGACACGAAAGCCAGGGGAGCGAACGGG